UACGUAGGGUGCGAGCGUUGUCCGGAAUUAUUGGGCGUAAAGAGCUCGUAGGCGGUCUGUCGCGUCUGCUGUGAAAACCCGAGGCUCAACCUCGGGCCUGCAGUGGGUACGGGCAGACUAGAGUGCGGUAGGGGAGAAUGGAAUUCCUGGUGUAGCGGUGAAAUGCGCAGAUAUCAGGAGGAACACCGGUGGCGAAGGCGGUUCUCUGGGCCUUACCUGACACUGAGGAGCGAAAGCGUGGGGAGCGAACAGG
rnacentral:rRNA from 1 species